UGUGUAGGCGGUGUUCCAAGUCUGGUGUGAAAUCUCCCGGCUUAACUGGGAGGGUGCGCCGGAAACUGGAAUGCUAGAGGGUGGGAGAGGUAAGCGGAAUUCCUGGUGUAGCGGUGAAAUGCGUAGAUAUCAGGAGGAACACCUGUGGUGUAGACAGCUUACUGGACCACUUCUGACGCUGAGACACGAAAGCGUGGGUAGCAAACA
rnacentral:rRNA from 1 species